rnacentral:rRNA from 1 species
UGCGAGUCGAACGGAAUCUUCGGAUUUAGUGGCGGACGGGUGAGUAACGCGUGAGAUCUGCCUUCAGGAUGGGGACAACAAUUGGAAACGAUUGCUAAUACCCGAUAUGACGAAAGUUGAAAGAUUUAUCGCCUGGAGAUGAGCUCGCGUCAGAUUAGCUAGAUGGUGUGGUAAAGGCGCACCAUGGCGACGAUCUGUAGCUGGUCUGAGAGGAUGAGCAGCCACACUGGGGCUGAGACACGGCCCAGACUCCUACGGGAGGCAGCAGUGGGGAAUUUUCCGCAAUGGGCGCAAGCCUGACGGAGCAAUACCGCGUGAGGGAGGAAGGCUCUUGGGUCGUAAACCUCUUUUCUCAGGGAAGAAUACAAUGACGGUACCUGAGGAAUCAGCAUCGGCUAACUCCGUGCCAGCAGCCGCGGUAAUACGGAGGAUGCAAGCGUUAUCCGGAAUGAUUGGGCGUAAAGCGUCCGUAGGUGGUUAUGUAAGUCUGUGGUUAAAGCGUGGGGCUCAACCCCAUAAAGGCCAUGGAAACUACAAGACUUGAGUGAAGUAGGGGUAGAGGGAAUUCCCAGUGUAGCGGUGAAAUGCGUAGAGAUUGGGAAGAACACCGGUGGCGAAAGCGCUCUACUGGACUUAAACUGACACUGAGGGAC